AUUGAACGCUGGCGGUAUGCUUAACACAUGCAAGUCGAACGGUAACAGGCCUUCGGGCGCUGACGAGUGGCGGACGGGUGAGUAACGCGUAGGAAUCUGCCUCAUAGUGGGGGACAACGUGUGGAAACGCACGCUAAUACCGCAUACGCCCUACGGGGGAAAGCGGGGGACCUUCGGGCCUCGCGCUAUGAGAUGAGCCUGCGUUAGAUUAGCUAGUUGGUAGGGUAAAGGCCUACCAAGGCGACGAUCUAUAGCUGGUCUGAGAGGACGAUCAGCCACACUGGGACUGAGACACGGCCCAGACUCCUACGGGAGGCAGCAGUGGGGAAUAUUGGACAAUGGGCGCAAGCCUGAUCCAGCAAUACCGCGUGUGUGAAGAAGGCCCUAGGGUUGUAAAGCACUUUCAAUAGGGAGGAAAACCUGUCGGUCAAUACCCGGCAGCUUGACAUUACCUAUACAAGAAGCACCGGCUAACUCCGUGCCAGCCGCCGCGGUAAAAC
rnacentral:rRNA from 1 species